UGGCGACCGGCAAACGGGUGCGGAACACGUACAGAACCUUCCUUCGAGCGGGGAAUAGCCCAUAGAAAUGUGGAUUAAUACCCCAUAGGAUAGUGGAGUGGCAUCACUCAGCUAUUAAAGAUUUAUCACUUGAAGAUGGCUGUGCGUCUGAUUAGGUAGUUGGUGAGGUAACGGCUCACCAAGCCAACGAUCAGUAACUGGUGUGAGAGCACGACCAGUCACACGGGCACUGAGACACGGGCCCGACUCCUACGGGAGGCAGCAGUAAGGAAUAUUGGUCAAUGGACGCAAGUCUGAACCAGCCAUGCCGCGUGGAGGAUGAAGGUCCUCUGGAUUGUAAACUUCUUUUAUCUGGGACGAAAAAGGGGAAAUCUUUCUCAACUGACGGUACCAGAUGAAUAAGCACCGGCUAACUCCGUGCCAGCAGCCGCGGUAAUACGGAGGGUGCAAGCGUUAUCCGGAUUCACUGGGUUUAAAGGGUGCGUAGGCGGGUGUGUAAGUCCGUGGUGAAAUCUCCGAGCUUAACUCGGAAACUGCCAUGGGUACUGCAUGUCUUGAAUGUUGUGGAGGUGAGCGGAAUAUGUCAUGUAGCGGUGAAAUGCUUAGAUAUGACAUAGAACACCAAUUGCGAAGGCAGCUCACUACACAGGAAUUGACGCUGAGGCACGAAAGCGUGAGGAUCAAACAGGAUUAGAUACCCUUGGUAGUCCACGCCCUAAACGAUGAUACUUCGACUACGCGAACACAGUGUGUGUCUGACGAAGCAUAAGUAAUCACCUGGAAGUACAUCGCAAGAUUGAAACUMAAGGAUUGACGGGGUCCCCCAACC
rnacentral:rRNA from 1 species